CCAGCACCUACUGCAUUGAAUCAGCAGAACAAGAGACCAAUGCCCACAAGUCAAGCUCCCUCCUAGGCCCCAGUGAUAGAACGCAACACGAUUUACCAGCACUAUGGCAGGAAUCAUGGAGACCAACCUUGCUAUCGCUUCAACAAUACCUGUUGCAUAUGCAAGAGUACCUAGCACUACGCAAGAGACUGUCCAUAAAAUUAAAAUCAGGACAGACCCGC
rnacentral:lncRNA from 1 species